rnacentral:rRNA from 1 species
CUACGGGAUGCUCCAGUGAGGAAUAUUGCACAAUGGGGGGAACCCUGAUGCAGCAACGCCGCGUGGAGGAUGACGCAUUUCGGUGUGUAAACUCCUUUUAUAUGUCAAGAAAAUGACGGUAGCAUAUGAAUAAGCACCGGCUAACUCCGUGCCAGCAGCCGCGGUAAUACGGAGGGCGCAAGCGUUACUCGGAAUCACUGGGCGUAAAGAGCGUGUAGGCGGAUUAAAAAGUCAGAAGUGAAAUCCUAUAGCUUAACUAUAGAACUGCUUCUGAAACUCUUAAUCUAGAAUAUGGGAGAGGUAGAUGGAAUUUCUGGUGUAGGGGUAAAAUCCGUAGAGAUCAGAAGGAAUACCUAAAGCGAAGGCGAUCUCCUGGAACAUUACUGACGCUAAGGCGUGAAAGCGUGGGGAGCAAACAGGAUUAGAUACCCCGGUAGUC